ACGUCCAUUUAAUAAGAUCUAUGCCUUCGGUGACUCAUUCACCGACACUGGUAACACAAAGACUGCGACUGGCCCUAGUGGCUUUGGCCAUGUCUCCACCUCUCCAUACGGCAGCACAUAUUUCCACCACCCGACCAACCGAUACUCCGAUGGGCGGCUGGUGAUUGACUUUGUAACUCAAUCCCUGUCACUACCAUUCUUGCCACCUUACCUUCACAACAAAGAUA
rnacentral:lncRNA from 1 species